CACUCUGACUUAGUCUUUGAAGUGCCAAGGAAGGGUUCCUCCCUUGGCCCUCUAACUUUUCUUGAGAAAUACACCGCGGAGUGGAAACAAACGAUCUCCCCAUUCUUUGACAUGCCACGUGUCAGCCAUCCGUCACUUCCCAAAAUAGAAUCGUGUCAGCUGGUAUUACUUAUCACUAUCACACGACCUAUUUCACUGCCAUACGUAGAUCAUUUGCAAUUUUUUGAGCAAGGGAAUACAAAGUAAUUAUGCCCACUACUUAGAUUAAUAUUAUCUUGUCAAUCUCUUCUAUAAAACACAAGCCUAAUACCACUUGCCAGCUAAGUUUUCUGAUCAAGAUUAAUAGCAUAAAAUUCAAGAAUUUUGAAUCAUAAGCUCAAUAAGUGUUUGCUAAUUUCUG
rnacentral:misc_RNA from 1 species